AGGGAGAACCAGGUCUUGAUGGUUUUCCAGGAAAACCUGGUGUGGACGGCCAACAGGGUAUCAGAGGAAGUCCAGGCCAGCCUGGACUCAUAGGAUCCAAAGGAGAGAAGGGUGAAAUGGGACCUCCAGGAAAACCCGGCUCAGUGGUGCAGACUGAAGGUUUAAAAGGAGAGCAGGGCCCCCCUGGCCCACGAGGAUCCAUUGGCCCUCCCGGACCCCCAGGUAGCCCUG